rnacentral:rRNA from 1 species
UACGUAGGGCGCAAGCGUUAUCCGGAAUUAUUGGGCGUAAAGAGCUCGUAGGCGGUUUGUCGCGUCUGCCGUGAAAGUCCGGGGCUCAACUCCGGAUCUGCGGUGGGUACGGGCAGACUAGAGUGAUGUAGGGGGAAGACUGGAAUUCCUGGUGUAGCGGUGAAAUGACGCAGAUAUCAGGAGGAACACCGGUGGCGAAGGCGGGGUCUCUGGGCAGUAACUGACGCUGAGGAGCGAAAAGCGUGGGGGAGCAAACAGGG